rnacentral:rRNA from 1 species
GACCUGCUCAGUGAUAAUGAAUUAUUAAAUAGCCGCAGUAUUCUGACUGUGCGAAGGUAGCAUAAUCAUUUGUCUUUUAAUUGAAGGCUUGUAUGAAUGGUUGGAUGAGGGACUGACUUUCUUUAUGUUAAAUUUAGAAUUUAAUUUCUAGGUUAAAAAGCUUAGAUGAUUUAAUGGGACGAGAAGACCCUAUAGAAUUUCAUUGUUUAUACUUUAUUUAAUUAUUGGUGUUUAUUAAAAUUAUUUAUGGUAUGAAUAAUUUUGUUGGGGUGACAGGGGGAUUUAUCUAACUCCCCUUAAUUAUUUAAUACUUAUGGGUAUAUAUAAAGAUCCUGUAUUAUGGAUAUUAAGAUUAAAUUACCUUAGGGAUAACAGCGUAAUUUCUUUGGAGAGUUCUUAUCGAUGAAGGAGUUUGCGACCUCGAUGUUGGAUUAAAAUGAGUUUUAAGUGUAGAAGCUUAAUUUCUGGGUCUGUUCGACCCUUAAUUUUUUAC